rnacentral:lncRNA from 1 species
AAAUAGAUUUCAAAAGUACUUUAUUUUAGAUAUACGCUACAAGCUCGAGGGUAUAUCCUCAAAUGGAUAUCGAAAAAUCCGUGAAAACAUCAUGGACCACACCAUAUCUAACAAGAUGCGAUUCCUCCUUUCUGUAAUUUUAUUUAAUUAUGGGUAUAAGGAGGUGUCCAUUGAGAGAGUAUUUUAUUUUGUUUUAAAUAAUCAAGGAACUCAUUAGACAAGUAUUCUCUUCCUCGAUC